GCAGCCUGCUGCGACCCAACUUCACGCUUGACCCUCAUAAGGGUUGGUGUGUAAAAUCCAGUGACCCGCGCACCUUGGGCAUCAAUUCUGUACCCAAGGAGGUAAUCCCUGGACAGCCCAUGAACUAUUCCAAUCCUGUGUAUGCAAAGAUUUAUAUUGAUGGGCAAAACUGCAGGAAGCCAGUCAUCAGUAUUGACGAGAGGAGAGAGCUACUCCCAAAGAAACUAGAGGGGACAAUUCACGAAACCGCCGCAUAGCCUAACUUUACACUUUGUACUUUUUUUCUACCACAGUGUAUAAUAUGAAGGAGGAAACAAGAAUUUUUCUAUUUCCUAUGAGGCUCUUAGAUUUUACUGGUUUAGCAUCAGCAUAAUGUCCUUGUUGGUGUGCUGAAGAGUUUUAUUUUCCAUUUACUGUUUGCUUUCUAAUGUUUGUCAAACAUAAGUUAUACAGCACUAUACUGUAUACUGUGUGACAUUGAAGUAAAGCUGCUGAUUUGCAAAAACUUUAUUAACGCCAUAAGCCACACUUGUGCACAGUUUAAACCUUAAAAUGCAGUGCUAGAAUUUGUAUCCAUACCUGUUUCUAAGUGGAAUAAGAACGCUGUAGUUUUGUGAAGAUAAUGAAGGCUCAAUGAACAAAUAUAUUGUAAGUAUCGCAGAGA